rnacentral:rRNA from 1 species
UACGUAGGGUGCGGGCGUUGUCCGGAAUUAUUGGGCGUAAAGAGCUCGUAGGCGGUCUGUCGCGUCGAUCGUGAAAACUUGGGGCUUAACCCUGAGCUUGCGGUCGAUACGGGCAUGACUGGAGUUCGGCAGGGGAGACUGGAAUUCCUGGUGUAGCGGUGAAAUGCGCAGAUAUCAGGAGGAACACCGGUGGCGAAGGCGGGUCUCUGGGCCGAUACUGACGCUGAGGAGCGAAAGCGUGGGGAGCAAACAGG